GGUCAGGACGAACGCUGGCGGCGUGCCUAAUACAUGCAAGUCGAGCGAGGAGAUUCCUUCGGGAUGAUCCUAGCGGCGGACGGGUGAGUAACACGUGGGCAACCUGCCUCAUAGAGAGGAAUAGCCUUCCGAAAGGGAGAUUAAUACCUCAUAACAUUGCAGUUUCGCAUGGAACAGCAAUUAAAGGAGUAAUCCGCUAUGAGAUGGGCCCGCGGCGCAUUAGCUAGUUGGUGAGGUAACGGCUCACCAAGGCGACGAUGCGUAGCCGACCUGAGAGGGUGAUCGGCCACAUUGGGACUGAGACACGGCCCAGACUCCUACGGGAGGCAGCAGUGGGGAAUAUUGCACAAUGGGGGAAACCCUGAUGCAAGCAACGCCGCGUGAGUGAUGACGGCCUUCGGGUUGUAAAGCUCUGUCUUCAGGGACGAUAAUGACGGUACCUGAGGAGGAAGCCACGGCUAACUACGUGCCAGCCGCAGC
rnacentral:rRNA from 1 species